AAGAAAUCUUGGAGUGGAGAAUCAUUCUGAAAGUAGACCAAAUCCAGGACAACAUCACAGCAGUGGUCGGAAAAAUGCAGCAAGCCAAGCUGACUUUCAAAAGAUGAUUCGUUAUCUGUUUCUUCAGAGGGGAGGCAGUUUGGGAGAUGGGAAUUAGGAGGAUGCUACAGUUACACAGGGCGAAUUUCAGCAGCUCAGUUUCAAACUUGCAACUAACAUUGAGUUAUAGUUAGAAGACCACGGAAAUAUUUGACAUCGGAGUCCAGCAGACAGCCAGAGACACGCACACACACGCAGCUGAAGCGCGUUUGACUGACGCGUACGGGAGAUCCGGCACGCGCACGGGAGCUCGCGCACGCUCACACAAACACGGAGCACAGGAUAAUUACAACUGUUUAAUUAAAAUAAAAGAACUUUGUGGUAUACAAUGUUUAGCGUGUCUGAUUUCAUUGGUUAGCAAGGAAAUAAAACGACGUGCUGAGGACUUUAGGCGAACGUCCCCUAAAA